AACCUUAUGGACCUGCGGGCGUAUACCUGCGGAAGGAUCAUUACCGAGUUAGGGUACUCUUCGUGCUCGACCUCCAACCCUUUGUCUACCUGACCAGAUGUUGCUUCGGCAGGCCCGCCGCCCCUCUACGGGGGUGGCCGCCGGGGGUCCUUACCGGCCCCGGGUCCGCGCCUGUCGACGGCCCCUCUUAAACUCUUGCUUAAAACGUGUCGUCUGAGUAAAACAAACAAAUAAAAACAA
rnacentral:misc_RNA from 1 species